UGUACAGUACUGAUGGGGGGCUUUAUUCAUAGCCCAAGAAUGUUGUACCGUAGUGGAGGGGUUUUCUUUGCUUGUUGAGCUUGUUUUCUUUUAUAUUCACCCUAGCUAUCAUAUGUUCUAAUAAACUAAAUGGCUGUGAAUACACAAUAUUCUCGAUUGAAGAAUUUCUUAUUAAAAUUAAGAAUCAUCUUUCCAUGGAUGAUGAAAUUACAACAAUGAUGAAUUUUAAGAGCCUAUACCAUCAAUUAAGUUACUGCUGACUUGCUUUGCUUAUAUCAAUUUCCACUACAAAUCUAAGGAAUGAUGACAAAGCCUGCAGUGCUUUGAGAGUUUUGGUUCUCCUAUGUUACAACUGAUAUUUCUAUUUUAAUGGGAAGUUUUGCAAACAGCAGAAUGGUGUACCCAUUGAUAGUUCCUUGGCUGGAAUUAUGGCCAAGGUCCUAUUAUGCGAGUUCGGAUCUAUUAUUAUAAAUAAUCUAAAAGUUUUGAUAAAAAUAUAUGUAUAUUAUGUUUACAAUAGCUGCAUCAUCCAGAUCCACCAAGAGCACUCUGAUGAGUUAUCUAAAGCUUAUACCUCAAUUAUAAUUCAGAAACUUCACACUCUGUACUCAAUUACUGUUCUAGAAUGGCUAGCUCUCAGGUUCUGUAAUAGAUAUAAAAUUUAUGAAAUAAUCCAAAUUAUGCUUUAAAUUCAUCUACAGACC
rnacentral:lncRNA from 1 species